UACAGAGGGUGCAAGCGUUAAUCGGAAUUACUGGGCGUAAAGCGUACGCAGGCGGUUUUUUAAGUCAGAUGUGAAAGCCCCGGGCUCAACCUGGGAAUUGCAUUUGAAACUGGGGAACUAGAGUGUGUGAGAGGGGGGUAGAAUUCCAAGUGUAGCGGUGAAAUGCGUAGAGAUUUGGAGGAAUACCAGUGGCGAAGGCGGCCCCCUGGCACAACACUGACGCUCAGGUGCGAAAGCGUGGGGAGCAAACAGG
rnacentral:rRNA from 1 species